UUUUUUUUUCUGGAUUUAUAAAAAAUACUGGGCCCAAGAAGCGCCAGAGGGGCGCCAACAGGUGGCCAUAAGCCUGCUAGGCGCAGCCACCCCUGUGGCCACGCCUAGGGGGCUUGUGGGCACCCAGCUGGCCCUCUGGCCCCCCUCUUCUGCUAUAUGAAGGGUUUCGUCUGAAAAAACUCAGGAGGAGACUUUUUCGUGGAUUCGCCGCCGCCACGAGGCGGAACUUGAGCAGAUCCAAUUGCCACGGCAACAAAUGUCCUUCCCCGACAGUGGUGCCAGAGAUCCUUCUGUCGUCUCUUGAGCUUGCGUUGGUUUUUUCCCUUGAAGAGGAAAGGGUGAUGUAGCACAGGAGCAGUAAGUAUUUCCCUCAGUUUGAGAACCAAGGUAUCAAUCAAGUAGGACAAUCUCGUCAAGUCUAGAGUACCUGCGCAAACACAAACGAGCUUGCACCCAACACUGUAAAGGGGUUGUCAAUCUCUUCAAGAUUGUUUGCAAAGUGAGAUAUGAAGGCGGGAAGUGCAACGAAGUAAAAAGUGUAAGGCUGAAAAUAUGGUGUGGAGUAGACCCCGGGGCCAUAGUGUUCACUAGAGGCUUCUCUCAAAAUAGCAAAUUUCAUGGUGGGUGAACAAAUUACUGUCGGGCAAUUGAUAGAACCGCGCAAAGUCAUGAUGAUAUCUAUGGCAAUGAUCAUACAUAUAGGAAUCACGUCCGAGACAAGUAGACCGAUACUUUCUGCAUCUACUACUAUUACUCCACACAUCGACCGCUAUCCAGCAUGCAUCUAGUGUAUUGAGUUCAUGACGAACAAAGUAACGCCUUAAGCAAGAUGAUAUGAUGUAGAUGGAUAAUCUCAAACCAAUGAUGAAAAACCCAUCUUUUUACCCUUGAUGGCAACAACACGAUGCGUGCCUCGCUACNNNNNNNNNNACCUUAAGCAAGAUGACAUGAUGUAGAGGGAUAAACUCAAACCAAUGAUGAAAACCCCAUCUUUUUACCCUUGAUGGCAACAACAUGAUGCGUGCCUCACUACCCCUUCUCUCACUGGGUGAGGUCACCAAACGGUAUGAACCCAAAACCAAGCACUUCUCCCAUUGCAAGAAUCAUAGAUCAAGUUGGCCAAACAAAACCCACAACUCGAAGAGAAUUACAAGGAUAUGAAAUCAUGCAUAUAAGAGAUCAGAAGAAAAUCAAAUAAUAUUCAUAGAUAAUCUGAUCAUAAAUCCACAAUUCAUCGGAUCUCGACANNNNNNNNNNNNNNNNNNNNNNNNNNNNNNNNNNNNNNNNNNNNNNNNNNNNNNNNNNNNNNNNNNNNNNNNNNNNNNNNNNNNNNNNNNNNNNNNNNNNUGGAGAUUGCCCCAACCUUGUUUGUAAAGGUUCGGACACCGCCUUCAAGAGCACCUAUAGUGGAAUCACGACACCUUGAAGUGUGUGAGGGCGUGAGGAGAAUACGGUGGCCCUAGUGGCUUAUUGGGGAGCAUUGUGCCUCCACACCGCUUCAACGGAGACGUACUUCCUGUCAAAGGGAAGGAACUUCGGUAACACAUCCUCGUCUUCAUUGGUUCCACUUGCGGUUAUCUCUAAUCUUAUAUUCUGUAUGUUUUUGUUGUAGACUAUCUCUUACUUGCCUUAGUGUUUAUAGUUGGUAGCAUCAUAUAGGUUCAUCACCUUGUUGUCAUUUUAGAGAACCUUUAUGUUGCUAGCCCUAACUUGUUAAGAUUAAUUAAAAAGUGGUUGUUGCCUAUUCACCCCCAUCUACUCAACCAUAUCGAUCCUUUCAGUAGCAUCGAAAGCAUCUAGAUCUGUUGCACCUGUACCUGUGGAGUGGUUGUAGUAAACUGUGAGCCAGAAGGACUCAACAAUCUCAUGACCAUGAUAGUGAGUCUAACUAAGUUAUUAGGUGGGGAUGGGGUAUGUAUUUGUGUUGCAGCAGCACUAAGCAUUUAUGGUGGCUAACUUACGAGAACAUGAAGUAAUCUGAGUGGUCUACGCUUGACGGUCGUGAACUAAGAAUAAUCACUAAGUGAUCCUGAACACCUACUUAUGUUAGUCAUAACCCCACCGUAUUCUCGAUCAAAGAAGGAGUUAUGAAGGAAACAAUCAUGGUUACGCACAUGGUUGGCAUGUUUUUAAUUAAGUUAUUUCAAGCUGUCUAGAACCGGAUGUUAAAAGUUUUCAUAUUUUGCCACAUAACAGCGGGCACGGCUUUUCGGAAGAUUUAACCCUGCAUGGGUGCUCCAACUAAUCCAUCACAAAUUACCACAAGAUGCAUAGAAAGCCUCGAUCCUCGAUCACGAAACUCGUGAUCUCUUCUAAUUCCUUAGUGGAAAACCUCAUCUUUGAGAUAACCCAAAGUCUCACCAGACUCCUGAUGCACAAAAUAUAUCGUUAAGGUAAGAACAAGUCCAGCAAGACCGCCAACGUGUCUACGAACCCGAUAAGAGCCGCGUAUCUCGUUCUCACGACACGAUCGGAUGAGCACAGCGUACGGUGGCCUCAUAGAGAUCUCCUGAGUUGCCCCGAGUUGGCCCGACACAAGACUCUAGUUUGGACCAACACUCAUGAGGAGCACUCGCCCGUGUUGUUGAUUAAGUUUCCUCGGGGUAGCUAUUUGCUAUGCGUUUUUAUUAUUAAGUUGUUAGCAAAUAUAGUACCAAAGUUGAGUCUUGUCAAACAAGCCUUAAGCCUAAACAAUUUAUCAAGGGGGGCCCCAUAACAACCCCGAGCGUGUUAGAAGUGCUCAAUUAUGGAAUAAAACACCGGUAGCCGAAAAUAAUACGACAAAAGCGAAACAAAUCACCUAGCAAAAGGCCAGACCUUCCACCUUUUACCAAGUAUAUAUGUGCAUUAAUUAAAUAGCAUUAAAUAAGAUGACAAUCAAAUUGCCUAUGUUACCACAUGGACGAGCUUGCACCUGCAACUACGAAUGUUGUAAGAUGGUUGAGCAAGCACUAACUUAGCCAAUCAAUGUUUGCUAGGAGGUGAAGGGUAAGAGGUUUUUCAUGACAAUGAUUGGAGGCUUAAUAUUAAGGUGGCAGGCAGCAAUAAGUAACGACGGAAACGAUUCAACUAGGCAUAACAAAAUUAGAAAUGAUAUCAGGUCACAAUCAUCUAGCCUGUUGGAUCUUCAAAUUGGAAUAGCUCUUGCUUUUCCUGAACGUACUCGACGGAAUCCUAAGUUAAUAGAUGCAUUUCUGUUCGAAUGGCCCUCCCAAAAAGAAGGAAUUUCUUAUUGAUAUUAGUAGUCUAUCAUCCCUAAUAAGCCAGGCUAUCACAAAAAGUGACGCGAGAGAACUUCUUGAACAACACAUAAUCAUUUGCUUUGAUAUGAGAGGACUUCUUAAAUAACACCUAAUCAUUUCCUCUUCCCUUAUCUUCACAUGUGGGUCGUGCAAACGUUCGACAAUUCUUCAUUUAGGCAUGGAAUAAAAAUAGGUGAAGUAUUUUUGUUUUGUAUAACAUAAAUAAAUUAUUACAUGAUUAUUAUAAAAAAUCACCUCACACAUAUGCAAAUAUAAAAUAUUUUUGAUUGUAUCCAAGGUAGCCAUGUCAGCUCGUAAUCUUGUAAUUGAUGCCGCUAAAUGUGAUGCAACAUGCACACCAAUUUCGGAGGGGGGGGGAGAGAUGUGUGUGUGUGUGUGAGAGAGAGAGAGUUUGGUUUAGUUUUAGUAUUAGUUUUUUACUUUCCUUUAUUUCUAUAAUUUAGUGAUUUCAUGCACAUCUUUUAAAAUGUGAAGAUUUUGAAAUGGAUUUUUAGAUGGAUAUUUUUCAAAUGCGUCAAUAUUUUUAAAUAGAAAAUAAGGAUUUUAAGAAAAUUAAAAGAUCAGUAAAAAUAAAAAGGCACAAAUCGGCUGAAAUAAAAUGUAGAAACCCUUACUUAAAACGUUCCUCCGAAGCGCACAAUGCGCUACAUAAGUCUUUGGCCCACCGCACAUUUUAGGGAAUAUUCUUUGUGACGAGUGAAGAACAUGAGCAUUAAGCCAUCAUUGCAAAACCAACAAAGGAAAAAUUAUGGCCUCUUGUAUUGCAGAGAUUUAGAAAGCAUGGCAAGUUUACUUAAUGUAAAAGUUAUUAUAAAAUAAGUAAGUUUUAAAUGCCAAUUAGAUUUCUCGAGACGUCAAAGCUCAUAUCUUGUAAUUGAUGCCUCAAAAUGGGAUGCAACAUGCACACCAAUUUCCUAGGGGGGGACGGAGAUGAGAUAGAGAGAGAGAGCGUUUGUUUUAGUUUUAGUGGUGGUUUUUACCUUGCUUUAUUCAUAUCAUUUAGUGAUUUCAUGCACAUUUUUCAAAAUGUCAAGAUUUUAAAUUGGUUUUCAGCUUGAUAUUUUUCAAAUGCAUGUAUAUUUGUAAAAUGAAAUUUUUAGAAAAAAAAGUUUAGAAGAAAAUUAAAAGAUCAGUAAAAAUAAAAGGCAAAAAUCCGCUGAAAUAAAAUGUUGAAACCCUUAAUUAAAACGUUCAUAUGGAGAGCACAGAGCGCUACAUGGGUGGUUAGCCCACCGCACGUUUUAAGGAGUAUUCUUUGUGAUGAGUGAAGAAUAGGAGCAUUAAGGCACCAUUGCAAAAACCAACAGAGGAAAAAUAAUGGCCUCUUGGAUUGUAGAGAUUAGAUUUCUCAGGACCUCAAAGCUCAUAUCUUCUAAUUGAUGCCUCAAAAUGGGAUGCAACAUGCACACCAACUUCGUAGGGGGAGGGGGAGAGGGAGAUGAGAGAGAGAGAGAGAGAGAGAGCGUUUGUUGUAGUUUUAGUGGUGGUUUUACCUUCCUUUAUUCCUAUAAUUUAGUGAUUUCAUGGACAAUUUCCAAAAUGUGAAGAUUUUAAAUUGGUUUUUUUAUCUUGAUAUUUUCAAAUGCAUGUAUAUUUUUAAAAUGUAAUUUUUAGAAAAUCAAGUUUUGAAGAAAAUUAAAAGAUCAGUAAAAAUAAAAGGCAUAAAUCUGCUAAAAUAAAAAUUUGAAACCCUUACUUAAAACGUUCAUACGAAGCACACAAAGCGCUACAUGGGUCGUUAGUCCGCCGCACGUUUUAGGGAGUAAUCAUUGUAACGAGUGAAGAAUAGGAGCAUUAAGGCAUGCAUCAUUGCAAAAGAAAUAGGAAAAAUUAUGGCCUCUUGGAUUGUAGAGAUUAGAUUUCUGGGGACCUCAAAGCUCAUAUCUUGUAAUUGAUGCCUCAAAAUGGGAUGCAACAUGGUCACGAAUUUCGUAGGGGGAGGGGAAGAUGGAGAUGGGAGAGAGAGAGAAAGUAUUUGUUUUAGUCUUACCGGUGGUUUUUACCGUCCUUUAUUCCUAUAAUUUAGUGAUUUCAUGCACAUUGUUCAAAAUGUGAAGACUUUAAAUUGAUUUUGUGGCUGGAUAUUUUUCAAAUGCGUGAAUGUUUCCAAAAUAUAAUUUUGAAAAGACCAAUAAAAAUAAAAGGCAUAAAUCCACCGAAAUAAAAUGUUGAAACCCUUACUUAAAACGUUACUAUGAAGGGCACAAAGCGCUACAUGAGCCAUUAGCCCACCGCAUGUUUUAGGGAGUAUUCUUUAUGACGAGUGAAGAAUAGGAGCAUUAGGGAAUAUUCUUUAUGACGAGAUUAGAUUUCUCGGGGCCUCAAAGCUCAUAUCUUGUAAUUGAUGCCUCAAAAUGGGAUGCAACAUGCACACCAACUUCGUUGGGGGAGGGGGAGAGGGAGAUGAGAGAGAGAGAGAGUGUGUUUGUUGUAGUUUUAGUGGUGGUUUUUACCUUCCUUUAUUCCUAUAAUUUAGUGAUUUCAUGCACAUUUUCCAAAAUGUGAAGAUUUUAAAUUGGUUUGUUAGCUUGAUAUUUUUCGAAUGCAUGUAUAUUUUUAAAAUGUAAUUUUUAGAAAAUGAAGUUUUGAAGAAAAUUAAAAGAUCAGUAAAAAUAAAAGACAUAAAUCCGCUGAAAGAAAAUUUUGAAACCCUUACUUAAAACGUUCCUAUGAAGCGCACAAAGCACUACAUGGGUCGUUAGCCCACCGCACGUUUUAGAGAGUAUUCUUUGUGACGAGUGAAGAAUAGGAGCAUUAAGGCAUGCAUGAUUGCAAAAAAAAAAAAAACAGAGGAAAAAUUGUGGCCUCUUGGAUUGUAGAGAUUAGAUUUCUGGGGACCUCAAAGCUCAUAUCUUGUAAUUGAUGCCUCAAAAUGGAAUGCAACAUGCACACCAAUUUCGUAGGGGGAGGGGGAGAUGGAGAUGAGAGAGAGAGACAGUAUUUGUUUUAGUUUUAGUGGUGGUUUUUACCGUCCUUUAUUCCUAUAAAUUUGGGAUUUCAUGCACAUUUCUCAAAACGUGAAGAUUUUAAAUUGGUUUUUUGGCUGGAUAUUUUUUGCAUGCAUAAAUAUUUUCAAAAUGUAAUUUUGAAAAGACCGAUAAAAAUAAAAGGCAUAAAUCCGCCGAAAUAAAAUGUUGAAACCCUCACUUAAAACGUUCCUAUGAAGCGCACAAAGCGUUACAUGGGCCAUUAGCCCACCGCAUGUUUUAGGGAGUAUUCUUUAUGACGAGUGAAGAAUAAGGACACGUGCCUAUCAUACAAACACGUGCGGGGAAUAUUUGGCUCCGUUCGCUGAGUUCAGAAACUAUCCACCGACACAAGACGACUACCUAAAUGCAGGUUUUAGCAUUAACCCCCCAUCAACCACACAUGCCCCAAGGACAUUUCGGCCAUGUUCACUGAUUUAAGAAAGAAGUAUCCGCCGACACAAGACACGCGCAGGGCACCUAAGUGCAGUUCUUCAGCACACCUGAACAUGGCGCCGACAGGCGACAGGGACCCGGGGGAUCGCAUCCCUCGCAAAUGCAUGCACCACAUGUUGAUACUCUCUACAAGCACAAGGGUUGAUGAAUUGAGCACGGACGGGCAUGAACGAAACUGCUGAUUUUGAUGAUGAUUAGUCGGCGACAGCAACGGGUCGCUAGCUACCAUGUUAAACCGCAUAGUCACCCACGCAACGACCACGGCGAUCGUCGUCUCGCUAUAUACGAUUACACAUACAUACUAGUACUAUUACUACCGGCGCCAGCACAGGGUCUGUUGAGGUUUUGUUCACAGCAACGAAACGAAACGAUUGUGUUAGCUUGGAGAUUGACCGAAUUGGGUCAGCCCAUUUGCGCGCGCUUGCACCGGAAUUCCGCCCGCCGCCACGCACCGCGGCCAUCGCCGCCGUCGAGGCCAGA
rnacentral:lncRNA from 1 species